CCUACGGGAGCAGCAGUGGGGGAUAUUGCACAAUGGGGGGAACCCUGAUGCAGCGACGCCGCGUGGGUGAAGGAGCGUUUCGGCGCGUAAAGCCCUAUCGGCAGGGAAGAAGAUGACGGUACCUGACCAAGAAGCCCCGGCUAACUACGUGCCAGCAGCCGCGGUCAUACGUAGGGGGCAAGCGUUAUCCGGAUUUACUGGGUGUAAAGGGGGCGCAGACGGCAAUGCAAGCCAGGGGUGAAAGCCCGGGGCCCAACCCCGGGACUGCUGUUGGAACUGCGUGGCGGGAGUAGAGGAGGGGGAUGCGGAAUGCGUGGUGUAGCGGGGAAAUGGAGAGAUAUAGGGAGGAACACCGAUGGCGAGGGCGGCAUGCCGGCUCCAGACUGACGUUGAGGCACGAAGGCGUGGGUAGCGAACAGGAUUAGAUACCCGGGUAGUC
rnacentral:rRNA from 1 species